rnacentral:rRNA from 1 species
UACGUAGGGUCCGAGCGUUGUCCGGAAUUAUUGGGCGUAAAGGGCUCGUAGGCGGUUCGUCACGUCGGGAGUGAAAACUCGGGGCUUAACCCCGAGCCUGCUUCCGAUACGGGCAGACUAGAGGUAGGCAGGGGAGAGCGGAACUCCUGGUGUAGCGGUGGAAUGCGCAGAUAUCAGGAAGAACACCGGUGGCGAAGGCGGCUCUCUAGUACGGUACUGACGCUGAGACGCGAAAGCGUGGGGAGCGAACAGG